rnacentral:rRNA from 1 species
CCUACGGGGUGCAGCAGUGAGGAAUAUUGGUCAAUGGGCGGGAGCCUGAACCAGCCAAGCCGCGUGAGGGCAGAAGGUACAGCGUAUCGUAAACCUCUGUUGUCAGGGAACAAAGGCGGGGACUAGUCCCCGGAUGAGGGUACCUGAAGAAAAAGCAUCGGCUAACUCGGUGCCAGCAUCCUCGGUAAUACGGAGGAUGCGAGCGUUAUCCGGAUUGAUUGGGUUUAACGGGUGCGCAGGCGGCCUGUUAAGGCAGAGGUAAAAGGCCGGGGCUCAACCCCGGCGAGCCGUUGAAACUGGCGGGCUGGAGUUGGAGAGAAGUACGCGGAAUGCGCGGUGUAGCGGUGAAAUGCUUAGAUAUCGCGCAGAACCCCGAUUGAGAAGGCAGCGUACCGGCUCCACACUGACGCUGAGGCACGAAAGCGUGGGUAUCGAACAGGAUUAGAUACCCUAGUAGUC